UGAUGUAAGUGUCUCAAGUAUAAAUUGCGUUUGUGCUCGCGCAAAUUAGCCCUUUAUACUUUUUGACACGCCGAACACCGAAAACGAAAUAUAAUGGUGUGUACACGCCCUUUUAUUUCGUGUUCGGUGUUCGAGGAUAGCGGGAAUUGCGUAUGCCUGGAGCAAUCCGGUUACAUCA
rnacentral:ncRNA from 2 species